AUACGGAAGGUCCGGGCGUUAUCCGGAUUUAUUGGGUUUAAAGGGAGCGCAGGCGGAGAUGCAAGCGUGACGUCAAAUUUCGGGGCUCAACCCCGUCUCGCGUCGCGAACUGCGUCCCUUGGUUGCGGGAAGGGGAGGCGGAACUCGUGGUGUAGCGGUGAAAUGCAUAGAUAUCACGAAGAACUCCGAUCGCGAAGGCAGCCUUCCGGCCCGUCAACGACGCUCAUGCUCGAAGGUGCGGGUAUCAAACAGGAUUAGAUACCCUGGUAGUCCGCACAGUAAACGAUGGACACCCGCGGUUUGGCCUGUAUGGCUGAGCCGCCAAGCGGAAGCGUUAAGUGUCCCACCUGGGGAGUACGCCGGCAACGGUGAAACUCAAAUGAAUUGACGGGG
rnacentral:rRNA from 1 species